UUGGAUUUUCUUUUACCUUUGUAUCUUGUGGGACAUCUGUUGGUGAAUACUUCGACGGAAAAGCAAAGCUUGUAGCAAUAUCAAUAAUCGGUACCGGAGCUGGAUGUGGUGGAAUGGUAAUCCCGUUUCUGUUGGACUAUUUGAUCGAGAUGUAUGGAUUGAGAGGAUGUGUGUUAAUUGUGGGGGGACUCGUGGGGAAUAUGAUUUGUUUCUUUGCUGUUUGUAAACCUAAAUCUGUCGGUUUACACAAAACUAAACUCGACUGUUCUGGAAAUGCUGACCGAAAACAAUCAGCAAUUCAUCAACCGCUGGACGAAGACAGAGUCACCAUCGAUAAUGCAAUCCUUAACAACAAAAAUAUACCUGGGAAACAAAAUACUUGUACUGAAAAGUUGAAUUCGCUCCGAAAAAACUAUAUUUUUAUCAUUUUCAUAUUUGGGAUUUCGUUAACAUUUUCCGCAUUUGGCGCGGCAUUGAUUUAUAUGUUGGAAUUCUUUAAGAAGAAGGGAUUUGCUGAAGACAAAGCGAUGUUGUUUUACUUUUAUAUGAAUAUAUCAGCCACUUUAGGUAGGUUGAUACCCGGACUGUGUAUACUCUUACCGCAUAUAGAUGGUCUUGUCAUAUCUGCGAUCUGUACCAUUGUGAGCUGUUUAAGUAGCUUAGGUCUACUUGGAGCAACAACAUAUUACCAACAUGUGAUUCUGAUGUGCGUCUUUGGGAUGACACUUGGCUGUGCUAACACAGUCCUAUCAAUGACUACGAUGGAACUUGUGGGUCUAGACAAUUACGCUAUCGGAAUGGGAAUCCUUUUGCUGGUAAUUGGACCAAGCAGCAUCUGUGCUGGUGCCGUUUCAGGUUGGUUAGUCGACUUGACUGGAUCCUAUCAUGCGUCAUAUUAUAGUGUUGCUGUUGCUCAUGGCGUGGCUUGUUGUUUGUUUGUCCUGGCAGCGACAUUGCAGAAGUUCAACCGAAGUCAGGCCUACUGCAAAUGUAUAAAUAAUUAAAAAUGAUACUUGAUACACGUCAUGAUCUAGUUUACAUAUUGAUGUCCACUGGUAGGAGGAUACACAUGUCAACCAAUGACGAAUUCGAGGAAACUGUCGGUGAGAGGUUCAUUGAGGAGACAAAGAACCCGGACAAUAUUCCCAGGGAAACAUGGUCUAACAAAAGGGACUUUAUCCUCGCCUGUGUGGGAAUGUCAGUAGGUAUUGGAAAUCUCUGGAGGUUUCCUUAUCUCUGCUACAAAAAUGGAGGAGGUGCCUUCCUCAUACCUUUUUUGACGUUUGUUGUGCUUGGAGGUGUACCGAUGUUCAUAUUGGAGUUAGCCCUGGGACAGUAUAUGAGUCUGUCUGGCUUUAAGGCAUGGAAUAUUUGUCCCGUAUUCCGAGGUAUUGGAAUAGCAAACAUCAUCAUAGAUGUCUUUGCGAACAUCUAUUACAUCAUGGUGCUGGCGUGGGCUGCUUAUUUUUUCGUGAUAAGUUUGACAUCAGUCUUACCUUGGUCUGAUUGCAACAAUGCUUGGAAUACACCAAGAUGUACACCUUUCCAUAAACUUGUCGAGACCAACUCGUCUGCCAUUGCAUCUCUGAUAAACUCGAGCGUCACUGCUGAACUGCCGGUUGAUCCUGCUGUCGAGUUUUGGGAACGAAGAGUGCUCCAGUUGACAAAGGACAUUACAGACGGUGGCGGUAUAAUCUGGGAGCUGGCGCUGUCCUUACUGGUGGUAUGGGUGAUUGUCUAUUUUUGUGUGUGGAGAGGAGUCAGGUGGAUGGGUAAGGUUGUAUAUUUCACGGCCAUAUUUCCAUACGUCAUACUGUGUGUGCUCCUGGUGCGAGGAUUGACACUAGAUGGCGCAACGGACGGUAUAGUGUUUUACCUAAAGCCAGACUUGUCAAGACUUGCUGAUAUACAGGUUUGGAUGGAUGGAGGAACGCAGGUAUUUUACUCAUACGCCAUUGCACUUAAUCAAAUAAUUACUCUGGGGAGUUACAACAAAUUUACAAACAAUUUUUACAGAGACGCUAUCCUAGUAUCGUGUAUCAACAGUGGAACCAGUUUGGUCGGGGGAUUCGCCGUCUUCUCCGUGCUAGGAUUCAUGGCUAAACAACAUAACAUUCCAAUAGCAGAUGUGGCUAACGCUGGUCCCGGAUUGGCCUUUAUUUCAUAUCCUAAUGCCGUCACCCAGAUGCCAAUUUCUCCUCUGUGGGCCGCACUUUUCUUUUUGAUGAUAAUUCUUCUUGGACUUGACAGUCAAUUUGUUGGUGUUGAAACGGUUAUUGCCGCGGUCAUGGAUAUGUUUCCAAACUUGGUGCGAAGGGGGAGUCGGCGGAUGUUGCUGAUGGCAGUCUAUUGUUUCCUGUCGUUCCUAGUGGGACUCCCAUUGGUAUCCAGGGGUGGAAUGUACAUCUUCCAGCUGUUUGACUACUACGCCGCCAGUGGAAUGGUCCUGUUGUGGGUAGUGUUCUGGGAGGUGGUGGCAAUCGCUUGGGUAUUCGGUGCUGAUCGGUUCUAUGACGCCAUUGAGAUGAUGAUAGGUUCGCGGAUCAAUCCGUACCUUUAUUUCUGCUGGAAGUACCUGUCACCUGUAUUAUGUAUGGGUCUGCUGUUGUCGCAGCUGGUUGAAUUUCGGCCCCUAACGUACAACAAGACGUAUGUGUAUCCCGACUGGGCCCAGGCUUUCGGUAUAAUGCUGGCCUUGUCGUCUAUGCUCUGUAUCCCGGUCUACGGUCUCUUCAAGAUGGCCAUCACGGACGGAUCACUGAUUGUGGUGAAUUACCCCGUAGUGGGCAUCACUUCGGAACAGAUCGGCCUUGACAUUGGCUGUGUGUUUUAAUAUUAACAUGGUGGAAACACGCCGCGCCUGGCAUAUGACAAUAUUAAACACUAAUUAUAUACUUGCAUAUAGACAAUAAUAUGAGAAAACUGUCAAUCAAUAUCAUAACAAACUGGGCCAAUAUCGGAUAAACUGGGCCAAUAUCGACGAACUGGGCCAAUACGGGGUAAACUGGGCCAAAUAUCGAUAAUGCGCCAAUCGAACGCAUACCAUAUUACUCGGAACAUUUCUACACUUAUCGGCAAUGACUAUACACAGUGUCGAGACCGAUAACGACCUUCACCCAUAUCAACGCUUCAUUGACGACGGCAGACGACAACAAAUCGUCGAUCGGCUCUGCAAAAAAUGGCGAAGACAUGCUAGCGGUGUCAAUGCAUGACAUUACCAGAUUUGAAGUUUUAAGUAAGCUGAGCCAAACAUUGCUUACUGAUGUAUUAGGCAACGACGACGGCGAAGAUAAUGUAAAACGUGAUAACAUUCCCGAAGUAGUUGCUCGUCCAACUGAACGAUUCAGGAUGUAUCUUACAAAUAAACUGACCGCUUCAUCAAAGAGCAAGCGAACAAGAACACUCAAUACAAAACAAAGAGUGACUUAAAGGUAUUUAGAGACUGGGCCCUGGCUAAUAAUAAGCACAUGGAUCCGGCUGAGAUAGCUCCAUCAGAACUGGAUUCCCUUUUGGCACGUUUCUUUCUCGAGGUUCUUCUUAUCACUGUGUGGUUGAACAAUGGAGUGUAUUUUGGACUUCGCGGAAGACAGGACCAUACAAAUCUCUACUGGGGUGAUGUUACUCUGAAGUAUACAACUACUGAUAAGGCGUACCUGGAAUUCAAUA
rnacentral:misc_RNA from 1 species